AUUCGAACGGCGUGGCGGCAUGGCCUUACACAUGCAAGUCGGAACGGUAACGAGGUACUUCGGACGCUGACGAGUGGCGAACGGGUGAGUAAUACAUCGGAACGUGCCCAGUCGUGGGGGAUAACUACUCGAAAGAGUAGCUAAUACCGCAUACGAUCUGAGGAUGAAAGCGGGGGACCUUCGGGCCUCGCGCGAUUGGAGCGGCCGAUGGCAGAUUAGGUAGUUGGUGGGAUAAAAGCUUACCAAGCCGACGAUCUGUAGCUGGUCUGAGAGGACGACCAGCCACACUGGGACUGAGACACGGCCCAG
rnacentral:rRNA from 1 species